GCGAACGCUGGCGGCAGGCCUAACACAUGCAAGUCGAACGAACCUUUCGGGGUUAGUGGCGGACGGGUGAGUAACACGUGGGAACGUGCCUUUAGGUUCGGAAUAACUCAGGGAAACUUGUGCUAAUACCGAAUGUGCCCUUCGGGGGAAAGAUUUAUCGCCUUUAGAGCGGCCCGCGUCUGAUUAGCUAGUUGGUUGAGGUAAUGGCUCACCAAGGCGACGAUCAGUAGCUGGUCUGAGAGGAUGAUCAGCCACAUUGGGACUGAGACACGGCCCAAACUCCUACGGGAGGCAGCAGUGGGGGAUAUUGCGCAAUGGGCGAAAGCCUGACGCAGCCAUGCCGCGUGAAUGAUGAAGGUCUUAGGAUUGUAAACUUCUUUCACCAGGGACGAUAAUGACGGUACCCAGCGAAGAAGCCCCGGCUAACUUCGUG
rnacentral:rRNA from 1 species